UAAUGGAUGAGUUAACAGGACAUAUUCAAGAUGAUAUUCCUUGGUGUAUGCUUUUCGCAGACGAUAUAGUGUUGAUAGAUGAAACUCAGGAAGGGGUAAAUGCAAAGCUUAACCUUUGGAAAGAAGUGUUGGAAUCUAAAGGUCUUCGCCUAAGCCGAUCAAAGACAGAAUAUAUGGAGUGCAAGUUCAGUGCAAAUGGAGGCCAAAACGAGUUAGGGGUGAGGAUCGGAGAUCAAGAAAUACCAAAGAGCGAUCGUUUUCGUUACCUAGGAUCUAUCUUGCAAAAGAACGGAGAAUUAGAUGGAGAUCUCAACCAUAGAAUACAAGCUGGAUGGAUGAAGUGGAAGAGUGCAUCCGGCGUGUUGUGUGACCGCCGUAUGCCACUGAAGCUCAAGGGAAAAUUUUAUAGGACGGCAAUAAGGCCGGCGAUGCUGUAUGGCACAGAAUGUUGGGUGGUGAAGCAUCAACACGUACACAAAAUGGGUGUAGCGGAGAUGAGGAUGCUUCGUUGGAUGUGUGGGCACACGAGAAAGGAUAAGAUUAGGAAUGAGGAUAUCCGGGGUAAAGUAGGAGUAGCCGAAAUUGAAGGAAAGAUGAGAGAAAAUCGGUUACGGUGGUUUGGACAUGUGCAAAGAAGGCCUACUGACGCCCCGAUUAGAAGAUGAUGCGACUAUGGACAGAGGUUCAGGGCCGAAGGGGUAGAGGAAGACCUAGGAAAACUUUGGAAGAGACUCUAAGAAAAGACUUAGAGUACUUGGAUCUAACGAAGGACAUGACACAGGACCGAGCACAAUGGCGUUCUAAGAUUCAUAUAGCCGAUCCCACUCAGUGACUUGGAUUUUCCAAGUCUCCAACCGAGAAGUUUUCCUCACUCAGGAAAUUAAGGGAACACUACCUCAACCUACAUGCUCCACUCACAAAGCUCCAACAAAAGAAAAUUCAAAGAACUUAGCGAAGAAGGCUUUGGUGUAUUUAACACAAUACGUUGAAAUGAAGGAAAGCUUAUUUAUUGAUAUCCCCGAUAAGCUACAAAUAUGUACAUAUACAUGAGUCAAAAUAAACAAACAAGAUGGAGCCUUCACAAAGGUUGCUUAGGAGAAGUCUCAGCAGUCGGUAGAGCCCCAGAAAGAGAAGGCACCGGAGGGGGAUCAUUCGGAGCCUCAGUACUGGACAGAACCCUAGAAGGAGGAGGCAUCAGAGGUUGAUCAUUUGGAGCUUCAUUACGCGGUACAGCCCCAGAAGACGAAGGCAAUAAAUGCCUUUGGAACAAACCCACAAAUCUCUGAUGAUCAAGUAAAACCUGACCAUCAGAUUCCUUCAUCUGGUCCAAGCUUCCUCUUCAUGUUUGUAGCAUAGUCAUGUGCGAGACCGGUGCAACUGUUUAUUCUCAUGCUUGAGCCCUCUAAUCUCCUGUUUGAGACUCAUCACUUCAGCCGCCAAUGAUUCAACUUGGCGGGUUCGAGCAAAUAGGCGUUGGGCCAUAUUAGACACAGAACCUGCACACUGAACACUGAGAGCCAGAGAAUCCUUAACAGCUAACUCAUCAGAUCCGUUUGGAAAAUAGUCUGUUAUCUUUGGGAGUGAGAAGGUUCCUGGCCACCACCGCAGCGGUCAUAUCAUUCUUCAUAACGGAAUCCCCAACGGUAAGAGGACCAGUAGGGGAGACGAAGGAUGGGCGCCAUAUGUUGUCUGGAGAAGGCGGGGCUGCCUCUUCAACAAGGUUCAAGUCAAAACGACGGUCGGAGGGGCCAGACAUUUUCAAAGGUGUUGAAGAGAGAAGAGGUCGAACAAAUCAAGAUCUUAGAAGUGCAAGAAUAGGAGCUUCUACUGGUGGAGAUUCAAUGUGUGCUUUGGAACUUAAUGCCAGCCCCUAUAAAAAAUCUGCACUCGACGGAGCUUCAGAAAUCGAAGAGGCGCCUGCUCAGAAAUCGAAGAGGCGUUUGCUUUCUCAAAAGCUGGGCUGCUCAGAGACCACGAGGGUCGAUCUCAGAAAUCGAAGAGGCGUCUGCUUUCUCAAAAGUUGGGCUGCUCAAAGACCACGAAGGCCGAUCUCAGAAAUCGAAGAGGCGCUUGCUUUCUCAAAAGUUGGGCUGCUCAGAGACCACGAGGGCCGAUCUCAGAAAUCGAAGAGGCACCUACUUUUCCAGCCUUGGCAGCACCUGUCACACACACACUCAACUUUGCGGAAAUUAUGGGCAUUCUGUCGAAGACUUCUGGUGAAGUAGAAAGCACAUGAGUCACCCACUUCCCACACGCAAUAGUAGCUCAUGUGUAUCACAGAUAACUUUGCCAAAGUUCUCUGCCAAAGUUGAGCACGUGAAGCUUGCAGCUCCCACUACAUCGCUCUGACCAAGACGGGUAAAAGAAUAGCAAAGAAACAGCACUAACAAAGUUUAGACACAUAAAUUUUGAAGGUCUAGCUACCCCAUAUUAUUACCCACAAGGGUAAAGGAACAGUAUCACUGCUGGAUAAUUGGAAAGUCCCUGUGUGUCAACCUCUGUGCUUCGUGGCAAGGUAGACUAGCAAUAUGCCCAACCUUUACUCACAUUCGAGAAAACACUCCCAACAAGAUUGCUUGCUCCAAAAUCGAAGAGGCACCGCCCUCCGAAUCUCGAGAGCCAGACUCCCAACAUGAUUACUUUCUCAAAAAUCGAAGAGACACCGCUCUCCGAAUCUCGAGAGCCAGACCCCCAGCAUGAUUGCUUUAUCAAAAAUCGAAGAGACAUCGUUCUCCGAAUCUCGAGAGCCAGAUCCCUGAUAGGAUUGCUUGUUCGAAAACCGAAGAGGCAACACUUUCCCAACUACAAGAGCCGGAUCUCCUUGGAUAAAGCUGUCUGUAAUCUUCACACGCAACAUCAGCUUUCCACAUACCACAGACCACUUUUUCAAAGUGCUCUGACAGGGUAAAGGAAUAGCAUUACUACUUGUUGUUAAGGAGACUCCUAUAUAUGUCAACCUCCAUCCCCAAUGGACAGACAGACCUGCAAAAAUGCUCAACCCUUCCUCAUAUAUGAGAGGGCACUCUCAACGAAGCCUUUCGAAAUAUUCAGCUUUCUUUCCCCCCGAUAAUACCUCUGCAAACAAGUUAUACUAGAGCAAGAAUAUCUCAUAUCAUCAGGGUUAAAAGCAAGAGUAUCCCAUAUCAUGCUUUUUCCCUGUCUUUUCCUUUGGCCUUGUUCUUACCUGCAAGACAAGGAGAAAGAGAGCAAUCAGUCAGCACUUGGAAUCAAGCUUCCAGCCAGGAACUGACUGCCUGGAACUUACUUACCUGGCAUUGCUCUCGAGUACUCAUCUUCAACAUCUUAUGCUUCCAGGGAAGAUACCGCAUCUGCCUGAGGAACAGAUAGGGCAAGUGAGAAGGAUACAAGGAAGCAUGUGGAGACAAGCGUAACAGCACACGUGCCGAUACAUCCAUUACUCUGUCAAAGCAAAAGUAUCCCAUAUCAGUAGGGUCGAACGUACUCUAGAUUUGAUGGACUUGUUUUGACCCUCAAAUUCUUCAGUCGACCUUAUACUCUGGAGGAAACCAGAAAACCCUCUAGCUCAGUUCAAGAAUAAGCUUGUGGAAAGUUACUUCUUCAAAAGCAAAAGUAUCCCAUAUCAUCUCUUCUCAUUUUUCUUCUCUUUAUCCUUCAUGCUGCCUGCAAGAUAGGGAGAAUGUGAACAAUCAGCCGGAGCUCUGAUUGCUUACCUUGUCUGUCACCUCUUUCAGCAAAUCCCCUAGCUCGGCAACUUGAGGGACUCCUACUACAUGGUUUGUAUCGCGCUUGACCAAGCCUGAAACUACAAGUAAGCUUCAAGUGAAAUUGAUACAUUACCUUGUGCAUCUCCACCAGUUAAAGAUACCACCCCUGGAUGGAGGAAGAGUACUUCCAGAGAAGAUGCCACAUCUACCUAUGAGACAGAUAAGGCAAGUCAAGACGAUACCACAUUCCGAUACUUAGAAGUUUCGUGAUUACGAGAUCAUUCUCCCACAAUAUUUCCUAAUGUCAUUUGUACUAAAUCAUUCACCUGUACUCACUAAAGGAAAGCUUGAACCUAUGUACUUGUGUAAACCCUUCACAAUUAAUGAGAACUCCUCUAUUCCGUGGACGUAGCCAAUCUGGGUGAACCACGUACAUCUUGUGUUUGCUUUCCUAUCUAUAUCCAUUUAUAUACUUAUCCACACUAAUGAUCGGAGCAAUCUAGCGAAGAUCACAAAAAGCGACCGUUUUCGCUACCUAGGAUAUAUCGUGCAAGAGAACGGAGAAUUAGAGAGAGAUCUCAACCAUAGAAUAGAAGUUGGAUAGAUGAAGUGUAAGAGUGCAUCCGGCGGGUUGUGUGACCGUCGUAGGCCACUGAAGCUCAAGGGAAAAUUUUAUAGGACGGCAAUAAGGCCAGCGAUGUUGUAUGGCACAGAAUGUUGGGCGGUGAAGCAUCAACACGUACACAAAAUGGGUGUGGCGGAGACGAGGAUGCUUCGUGGGAUGUGUGGGCACACAAGAAAUGAUAAGAUUGGAAAUGAGGAUAUUCGAGGUAAAGUAGGAGUGGCCGAAAUUGAAGGAAAGAUGAGAGAAAAUCGGUUCCGGUGAUUUGGACAUGUGCAAAGAAGGCCUACUGACGCUCCGGUUCGAAGAUGUGACUACGAGACAGAGGUUCAGGGCCAAAGGGGUAGAGGAAGACCUAGGAAAACUUUGGAAGAGACUCUAAGAAAAGACUUAGAGUACUUGGUUCUAACGGAGGACAUGACACAAAACCGAGCGCAAUGGCGUUCUAGGAUUCAUAUA
rnacentral:lncRNA from 1 species